rnacentral:tRNA from 1 species
GCCCGAGUGGCGGAAUUGGUAGACGCGCACGACUCAAACUCGUGUUCCACUGGAGUGCCGGUUCGACUCCGGCCUCGGGUA